rnacentral:rRNA from 1 species
UACAGAGGUCUCAAGCGUUGUUCGGAUUCAUUGGGCGUAAAGGGUGCGUAGGCGGCGCGGUAAGUCGGGUGUGAAAUCUCGGAGCUUAACUCCGAAACUGCAUUUGAUACUGCCGUGCUUGAGGACUGGAGAGGAGACUGGAAUUUACGGUGUAGCGGUGAAAUGCGUAGAUAUCGUAAGGAAGACCAGUGGCGAAGGCGAGUCUCUGGACAGUUCCUGACGCUGAGGCACGAAGGCCAGGGGAGCAA